rnacentral:pre_miRNA from 1 species
UUCCCUUUGUCAUCCUAUGCCUGGUGGUAGUGAUAAGGCAGGGACAGCAAAGGGGUGC